rnacentral:rRNA from 1 species
AACGUAGGGGGCAAGCGUUGCCCGGAUUCACUGGGCGUAAAGCGGGUGUAGGCGGUUCUUUAAGUCAGAUGUGAAAUCCUGCGGCUCAACCGCGGAACUGCAUCUGAUACUGGGGAACUUGAGGACGGUAGAGGUCGGUGGAAUCCCCGGUGUACCGGUGAAAUGGGCAGAUAUCGGGGGGAACACCAGUGGCGAAGGCGACCUUCUGGGCUGCACCUGACACUCUAGUGCGAAAGCGUGGGGAGCAAACAGG